GAUGAACGCUAGCUACAGGCUUAACACAUGCAAGUCGCAGGACUGGCGCACGGGUGAGUAACGCGUAUCCAACCUUCCCAUAACUACGGGAUAACCCGUUGAAAGACGGCCUAAUAACGUAUGGUUAUGGAUGGGGAUGCGUCUGAUUAGCUUGUUGGCGGGGUAACGGCCCACCAAGGCAACGAUCAGUAGGGGUUCUGAGAGGAAGGGGCCCCAAGUUGGAAAUGAGACACGGUCCAAACUACGACGGGAGGCAGCAGUGAUGAAUAUGGGUCAAGGGGCGAGAGCCUGAACCAGCCAAGUAGCGUGCAGGAUGACGGCCUAUGGGUUGUAAACUGCUUUUAUGGGGGGAUAGGGACCACAUGAAUAAGGACCGGCUAAUUCCGUGCCAGCAGCCGCGGUAAUUC
rnacentral:rRNA from 1 species